GGCACAUCUUAUUCAUUGGUAUACGAAACACUGAGGCUGCCCAGAGUGUGGCAUCCCCCCACCCCCGCCCUGGGGGCCCUGGGUUUUCCUGCUCUCUUUCUCCCUUAGGGCUCUUCUUCCCAAAGCCAUCCACAUAGGACCCACGGUUAGUCCUCGGCCCAUUCCUGAGUCCCUCUGCUCACCUGCUGAGCACAACUAGGACCCUGCCACCACUGCCUGGAAGGCACAGACACAGGCUGGUUUGAAACCCCACCAUGUUGAAUCCCAUGGGUCUGUGCACCUCACAGGCCUCAGAGAAGCCUGAUUCUCAUUUCUGUCUCAAGAGGUCCUAGCCAGGUCAGCUUCUCCAUGGAGUCCCAGCCCUGUCCAAGGUUGUGUCCCAAGUCCCCCAGGUCAACCUCAUCUUCUCGUUGCCCCCCUCACCCCCCCCAUGGCCACCCUCCACUCUUCUGCCCUUCCUCUCCAUUGUCCAUACAGCAACCUCCACUGUCCAAAUACAACCUGUUCAAGCCUCAGCCUCACUGAGAAUAAUUAAUAUGAAAGCAAAAUGCACAUUAUUUCAAGAGAAAGGAAAACCUAUGCAGCAACAAAGAAAUUAAAAUGAGAGAAACAUAGCCAAGGUGGUGAGCCAGGUCCAUGCAUUCCAGGAGAACCCCUACACAUUCAGCCCCGACCCCAAGCUGCAGGCGCAUCUCAAGCAAAGGAUCGCACGUUUCAGCGGGGCUGACAUUUCCAUCUUAGCAGCAGACAACAGGGCCAACUUCCACCAGAUCGAAAGCGAGAAGCAUUCCCGGAAGAUCCAGGACAAACUACGAAGGAUGAAAGCUACAUUCCAGUAGUGAGGAUGCAACUGAGUGUGAGAGUCCAAGAGGAACCAGACCUACAGGAGGCAGCUGGGGAGCAAGGAGCCGCUCCAGGGCCACCUGCAUGAGACUGCUCUGCACGUGGAGCCCUGAGCAAUGUAGGUUUCCACCACUCCCCACUCCCCAGGUGAAGAGGUGGAGGGUCACAGCGACUCACCCAUGGCCACUCCACAGAGAGGGCAAAGCCAGCUCCAACACAGACCCAGCACCCAGAACUGGCCCUUUCCAGGACGUGGGCAGGGUGGGCACAAGAGUUUGGAGAUCCUGUUUCUGCAAGAAUUUAAAAAUUAAGUUUAAAAAUCACAAUAGAAAGCCAAGUAUGGUGACACACAUCUGUGAUCCCAGCACUCCAGAGGCUGAGGCAGGAGAACUGCUGUGAGUUCAAGGCCUGCCUGGGCUACACAGUAAAUUCAAGGCCAGCCUGAACUACAUAGUGAGACCCUGUCUCACAAAAAAAAAAAAAAAAAAAGGAAGAAAAUAGAAUAAACUUUCCCCAGAGUUUUUGUACCUAUUUCUCCAAGAUGAAUGACUUUCAUCCCAUUCUUGUUAUGAUCCCCUUUUAAAACAACAACACUCAUUCACCCUUGACUAGACAGAUUCCAAACUUAGCUACUAGCUUAAGAGUGUUUCCAUGUUUGUUUAACAGAGAAGGACCAAAAACUCAGCUGAACCCAUGGGCUUCAAGACUUCUAAAACCUUCCAUAGAAGAGGCCUAGGGCCGGGGAUUUAGCUCAGUGGUUCUGGCGCCUGCCUCGCAAGUGCAAGGUCCCAAGUUCGAUCCCCAGUACCAAAAAAAAAAAAAAAAAAGAAGUAGAAGAGGCCCAAAGCUUCUGGAUGAGCUGGCCCUGCUGGGUUUACAUUCCCACCUACCCUCAGUCCUCCCUGUAGGAGAUCUCUGCCAUCCUACACCCAGCUGCCAAGCCAGUUAGGAGAAGCAGCCUCUGUCCCAGCUAGGCUUACUCCUGUGGCAGCUGCUCCUUUCUAUGCCCUCCACUCACCCUCAGCUUAGGAGAACUGCAGUGAUACAGGCGCUCUGCCAAAGGCUGUACUCCCUGGAAAAGGGCACUGGACACCACCCAUGGACCCUGAGAGUGUCCCACCACCUGCCCUAAGGCCUGGGGACUGCAAGACUGCCUACCUGUGUUCAGCAGCAGCCAUGCAUGCGCACACCCAACCACUGCGUUCCCUCAGCUGUGCACCACCACUAGCGCUUUGUCAGACCAGAAUGUGAAGUUUGCAGUCUCAGUUGUACCAAGCCCUUCCCCGAGUUCAUGGUCUCCAUCAGCUGGUGUUAAAAUUGACUCAGUGAUGGGACCAGGGGCCUGGGAAUAGGACAGGGUGUGGCCGGUCAGAGCCCUACACUAGGCACCAGAGCUCUCAGAUCCCUGGUACCAUUCCAGGAACUGCCUGCCACCAGACCCAAGGUUGUUCUAUGUUUUAGAAUUAAUGAUUCCAGGGCCAGGGAUUUAGCUCAGUGGUUUGGCACCUGCUGUGCAAGUGCAAGGACCCGAGUUCAAUCCCUGGUACCAAAAAAAAAAAAAAAAUUAAUGAUUCCUUAGUGAACCAGCUAGUGGUAUUUCUAGGCAGGCUGUGACUUGUAACAAAAUGUUGACUUUUUAAUGCCAAGAUGUGUUUUCCCACAUGCAUUCAUUGGGGGUAACAGGCCCUGCUAACUUGGACACACCAUGCACAUGUGACUACCGUUUUCAGGCUUUUCUAUGAAGAUUAUGUUCUGCUGAUCAAUGCCUACGCUUCCAGAUUUUGUAUUUCACACAGAUGGUAUCCAGCCCCAAUCAAUAUUUCAAUGGCAACAACUUAUAUCAUGGGAAAGUGACCAGGCUUUGGCUUCAGCACUGUUUGCAUGGCACCCUGAUGUCACAUGGUACAAAUUUCUAAAUAAAAUCAUUUCUAUCAAGC
ensembl:lncRNA